rnacentral:rRNA from 1 species
AGAGUUUGAUCAUGGCUCAGGACGAACGCUGGCGGCGUGCCUAAUACAUGCAAGUUGAGCGCUGAAGGUUGGUACUUGUACCGACUGGAUGAGCAGCGAGCGGGUGAGUAAUGUCUGGGAAACUGCCUGAUGGAGGGGGAUAACUACUGGAAACGGUAGCUAAUACCGCAUAACGUCGCAAGACCAAAGAGGGGGACCUUCGGGCCUCUUGCCAUCAGAUGUGCCCAGAUGGGAUUAGCUAGUAGGUGGGGUAACGGCUCACCUAGGCGACGAUCCCUAGCUGGUCUGAGAGGAUGACCAGCCACACUGGGACUGAGACGCGGCCCAAACUCCUACGGGAGGCAGCAGUAGGGAAUCUUCGGCAAUGGACGAAAGUCUGACCGAGCAACGCCGCGUGAGUGAAGAAGGUUUUCGGAUCGUAAAACUCUGUUGGUAGAGAAGAACGUUGGUGAGAGUGGAAAGCUCAUCAAGUGACGGUAACUACCCAGAAAGGGACGGCUAACUACGUGCCAGCAGCCGCGGUAAUAC